CCAGUAAACGGCGGUGGUAACUAUAACCAUCCUAAGGUAGCGAAAUUCCUUGUCGGGUAAGUUCCGACCCGCACGAAAGGCGUAACGAUCUGAGCACUGUCUCGGAGAGAGACUCGGCGAAAUAGACAUGUCUGUGAAGAGGCGGACUACCUGCACCUGGACAGAAAGACCCUAUGAAGCUUUACUGUAGCUUGAAAUUGUUUUCACGUUUUGCACGCGCAGAAUAGGUGGGAGACUGAGAAGGGAUCUCUUCGGGGGUCUUGGAGUCACACGUGAGAUACCACUCUUGCAAGACUAGAAUUCUAACCUCAGACCGUUAUCCGGCUGAGGGACCAUUUUAGGUGGGCAGUUUGACUGGGGCGGUCGCCUCCCAAAAGGUAACGGAGGCGUGCAAAGGUU
rnacentral:rRNA from 1 species